rnacentral:rRNA from 1 species
GUUGUAUGGUUAAGUGACUAAGCGUACAUGGUGGAUGCCUUGGCAGUCAGAGGCGAUGAAGGACGUAUUAACUUGCGAUAAGCCUAGAUGAGGUAGUAAAAACCACUUGAGUCUAGGAUUUCCGAAUGGGGAAACCCACCU